GCCCGCAGAGCGACGACCUCCAGCCCGGCCGCCUCCGCCGCGGCGCGCUCGCCGUCGGGGUGACGGCCGCGCCGGACCGCCUCCGGCUGCGGGCC
rnacentral:tRNA from 1 species